GACGAACGCUGGCGGCGUGCUUAACACAUGCAAGUCGAACGGUGAAGCGCCUUCCUUUUUGGUGGGUGUGGAUGAGUGGCGAACGGGUGAGUAACACGUGAGUAACCUGCCCCCUUCUUCUGGAUAACCGCAUGAAAGUGUGGCUAAUACGGGAUAUUCUGGGUCUGUCGCAUGAUGGGUCUGGGAAAGAUAUUGUUUCGGUGGGGGAUGGGCUCGCGGCCUAUCAGCUUGUUGGUGGGGUGAUGGCCUACCAAGGCGGUGACGGGUAGCCGGCCUGAGAGGGUGGACGGUCACACUGGGACUGGGACACGGCCCAGACUCCUACGGCAGGCAGCAGUGGAUAAUAUUGCACAGUGGGCGCAAGCCUGAUACAGCGACGCCGCGUGAGAGAUGGAGGCCUUCGGGUUGUGAACCUCUUUCGCCAGUGAAGCAGGCCUGCCUCGUUUGUGGGUGGGUUGACGGUAGCUGGAUAAGAAGCGCCGGCUAACUACGUG
rnacentral:rRNA from 1 species